rnacentral:rRNA from 1 species
UACGUAGGGUGCAAGCGUUAAUCGGAAUUACUGGGCGUAAAGCGUGCGCAGGCGGUUUUGCAAGUCAGGUGUGAAAUCCCCGGGCUCAACCUGGGAACUGCAUUUGUGACUGCAUGGCUAGAGUACGGUAGAGGGGGAUGGAAUUCCGCGUGUAGCAGUGAAAUGCGUAGAUAUGCGGAGGAACACCGAUGGCGAAGGCAAUCCCCUGGACCUGUACUGACGCUCAUGCACGAAAGCGUGGGGAGCAAACAGG